CUUAGAAAUUUCUCGAUUUUUGUGUGUGUUUAGAUCGAACCAGGGUUUACUAAAUUGUUAUUGUUUCUGUUUAAAGGCUAUAUCUAUGGGUUCUAUUAGAGGAAACGUUGAAGAACCUAUAUCUCAGUCGUUAACUAGGCAAAACUCUCUCUAUAGCUUAAAGCUCCAUGAGGUUCAAACCCACUUAGGCAGUUCUGGAAAACCACUAGGAAGCAUGAACCUUGAUGAGCUUCUCAAGACUGUCUUGUCUCCAGCUGAGGAAGGGCUUGUUCGUCAGGGAAGCUUGACGUUGCCUCGAGAUCUUAGUAAAAAGACAGUUGAUGAGGUCUGGAGAGAUAUCCAACAGGACAAGGAUGGAAACAGUACCAGUACUACUACUACUCAUAAGCAGCCUACACUCGGUGAAAUCACUCUUGAGGAUUUGUUGUUGAGAGCUGGUGUAGUGACUGAGACAAUAGUCCCUCAAGAAAAUGUUGUUAACAUAGCUUCAAAUGGGCAAUGGGUUGAGUAUCAUCAUCAGCCUCAACAACAACAAGGGUUUAUGACAUAUCCGGUUUGUGAGAUGCAAGAUAUGGUGAUGAUGGGUGGAUUAUCGGAUACACCACAAGCGCCUGGAAGGAAAAGAGUAGCUGGAGAGAUUGUGGAGAAGACUGUUGAGAGGAGACAGAAGAGAAUGAUCAAGAAC
rnacentral:lncRNA from 1 species